rnacentral:misc_RNA from 1 species
UACAGAGGGUGCAAGCGUUAAUCGGAAUUACUGGGCGUAAAGCGUGCGUAGGUGGUUUGUUAAGUCAGGUGUGAAAUCCCGGGGCUCAACCCCGGAACUGCAUCUGAUACUGGCAGACUAGAGUGCGGUAGAGGAUGGUGGAAUUCCCGGUGUAGCGGUGAAAUGCGUAGAUAUCGGGAGGAACAUCAGUGGCGAAGGCGGCCAUCUGGACUGACACUGACACUGAGGCACGAAAGCGUGGGGAGCAAACAGG